rnacentral:rRNA from 1 species
AUUGAACGCUGGCGGCAUGCUUUACACAUGCAAGUCGAACGGCAGCGCGGGCUUCGGCCUGGCGGCGAGUGGCGAACGGGUGAGUAAUACAUCGGAACGUGCCCAGUAGUGGGGGAUAGCUCGGCGAAAGCCGGAUUAAUACCGCAUACGAUCUGAGGGUGAAAGCGGGGGAUCUUCGGACCUAGCGCUAUUGGAGCGGCCGAUGGCAGAUUAGCUAGUUGGUGGGGUAAAGGCCUACCAAGGCGACGAUCUGUAGCUGGUCUGAGAGGACGACCAGCCACACUGGGACUGAGACACGGCCCAGACUCCUACGGGAGGCAGCAGUGGGGAAUUUUGGACAAUGGGCGAAAGCCUACUCCAGCAAUGCCGCGUGUGUGAUGAAGGCCUUCGGGUUGUAAAGCACUUUUGGCGGGAACGAAAAGGACUGUGCCAAUACCACGGUUCGAUGACGGUACCCGCAGAAUAAGCACCGGCUAACUACGUG